AGAGAGCUUCACUGAGAAACCGGUGAUCACAUGACAAGAUAAGGAGGGAUGUGGAAAGUUGAAACAGAAGUCAGAAACGAUGAGCUACGGCAGAGAGCUGGGAAGAACGGUUUACUUUCAAAGUAGCCAAGUUUUUCUCACUGCCUUCUAUCUAGCUAUCGGGCUUCCUCUUCUUUGUUCCUGAGAUCCCACACCUGCCCCUUCCUCAAUCAAUCAGUGGUAUUUGUCCAUCGCUUACCGCGUGCUGACGUGUACUAGGCGGUUGGGAGACUCAUUAUAAGUGACUCUUUGAUUCCCUGUAUAUGCAGGUUCACAAGCUGAAACUUUUUUCUUUACCAGCGGAUGGACAGCAAGAAUGCGGAUACUUACACAUGAGCAAAUAGAAAAGGAUAAUGGGCCUCUUUGAAUCUGGCAAACUCAGGGAAUGAAAAUGUAUAUGAAUUAAUAACCUCACUGGAACAAAAUCAUCACCUGCAACCUCACCAUGAUGGAUCCAUUCUCAUUGGCUUUGAGCUGCAGAGGUUUCUGGCUCUCUGCAAAAGGACCAAAAGGACAUUUUAAGGACUCGCAAGCUCCGGACAUCCCAAGUCAGAUAACGGUGAUGGAAGUGACAGCUACUCCUGAGAGGGAAAGUCAGGCAGGAUCAAGAAAAGCCUCACAGGAGGAGGAGGAGGAAGAUGGAGACAAAAAUGAUCAGGGAACACAUUCAUUGAAUUCACAGGAUAAAUCAUGGUAAAAGCAUCCCAAGAGGGAGAUUUUCUUCCAACUGAAAGUUUUGUAGAAGACUUUGCUCUUCUUUUAGCAGAUUCUUGCCAGGAGUUAAAAAAGUUCUCUAAUUCCAGUUUAUGGAUUUUCCUUAUUUUAAUGUUCGCCUUUUCUGUGUGGACAUAUUAUAAAUGAAAUUAACUACAUUACUAAUGCCUUUAAUCUGAUUUUUCUGGAGCCUAAGGCUGGCAAUGAAG